AUGUACAUUGUCAACAAUCGGCAUAUUGAGCUCUGUUUUGCCAUCAACCUGGCGCAUCUGCUCUAUCCAGGAAUCACAGACGCCGAGGCUGAAAGGAGGGGGAGCGAACUUCAGCAAAGGGCCGGUUUAAUCGCGCAGACGCCAGUGUGUUUCACGGACGUGGAGAAGUUUGAAGAGCUUGUUCAGUGUCGGAUUGUAAUCUUUUACAGAACAGAUUUGAAGCGCCUCAACACGUUUCACACUGCAAAGCAGCGGCCUGGUAAACCUUUAUACAUGUUUCUUUUCGAGAAUCAUUAUUACGGUCUAAAGAACGCCUGCGCUUUCAUAGGAACGAAAUAUUUGUGCAGUCAUUGCUACACCGGUUAUGAUGGGUUGCUGAAUCAUAAAUGCGAGGGGCGUUGUAACGUGUGUCUUGAUGCUGCGUGCACGGCCACGCGUCCCGCAGCCGGUGGGGGCGUAGUGUGUGAAUACUGCAACCGCUGGUGUGCCUCGGCCUUUUGUCUCGCAAAACACAGGGAGAAGGUGUGGCGCCCCGUGGCUCAGAAGCACGCUAGCAUUUGUGACAUGCACAAGAAAUGUCACCGCUGCGGCCUCUUGUAUUACGUCUCACUGAUUAAAAUACCAAAGCCGCACGAAUGUCCGGACGUUAAAUGCUGCAUCUGUGGCGGGGUCAAAUAUGCAGGGACGACCGAGCCUCACCGGUGCUACAUACAAAGUCUACCGACUCCUGAAACCACCACAGACGUUAUUCCAAAUAAGAAGUUGUUGUUCUAUGACUUUGAGACGUAUCCUGAUGAGAAUGGCACGCAUGUGCCCUUUUACGUCUGCGUCAUGAGGGGCAAUAAUAGCAGCCCGUGGGGUUGUUACGGGCCCGACUGCGCCGUAAAGCUUCUCAGGCGCUACAGGGCUAAAAAGUACAAAGAUUCCGUGUGUUUGGCUCACAAUUCGAAAGGUUUUGACGGGCAUAUUCUUUUGAGCGCCAUGGUGUCGCUGGGGAUUAGCCCUCACGUUGUAAUGCAGGGGUCUAAACUGGUAUUGUUCACAGAGCCUCAUUAUAAUCUCAAAUUUAUAGAUUCCAUGAGCUUUCUAUCUUUCCUUUGGGCCUCCCUGCCAAAAGCUCUGGGCUUUGAGGAUGCUGAAAAGGGUCACUUCCCUCACAAGUUCAGCUCUAAGGAGAAUCUGAAUUAUGUUGGCCCAUACCCAGCUCCUGAAUAUUACGGUUGUCAGCAAAUGACUCCAAAGAAACGCGAGGAUUUCAUGGCGUGGUACACCCUAGUCUCCGGCGGAACGUUUAAUUUUAAAGCAGAGGCAAAGCGCUACUGCCAAAAUGACAGAGAGAUUCUCAUGAAAGCGUGCUUUGCAUUUAGAGAGUGUUUUGUGAACGAGACGGCUCUAGACCCCUUCAAGCGAGCAACCAUCGCCUCCGCGUGUAUGUUUGUUUUCAGAACAUGUUUCCUUAAAGAAACAGCUGCAAGCGCUUCUCAAACGCCUGUGUGCAGUGGUUAG
rnacentral:lncRNA from 1 species